rnacentral:rRNA from 1 species
CCCUUAGAUGUUCUGGGCGGCCCGCGCACUACAAUGGCGCUUUCAGCGAGUUCCUAUGUUGCAUUUUCCUGGGUAUUCUUGGAAGCGGCGUCUUGACUUGGGAUAGAUCCUUGUAAUUGUUGGUUUUGAACGAGGAAUUCCUUGUAAUCGCGGUUGAUCAGCUCGCGUUGAAUACGUCCCUGCCCUUUGUACACACCGCCCGUCGCUCCUACCGAUGAAUCGUCCGGUGAAGUUCACAGAGUGGCGGUUCGUGGAGUUGCUCGCGAAGUGAAAUGGACCUCACGAUUUAGAGGAAGGAGAAGUCGUAACA